UACGUAGGGCGCAAGCGUUGUCCGGAUUUAUUGGGCGUAAAGAGCUCGUAGGCGGUUUGUCGCGUCUUCCGUGAAAACUGGGGGCUUAACUUCCAGCUUGCGGUGGAUACGGGCUGACUGGAGUGCGGCAGGGGAGACUGGAAUUCCUGGUGUAGCGGUGAAAUGCGCAGAUAUCAGGAGGAACACCGGUGGCGAAGGCGGAUCUCUGGGCCUUGCCUGACGCUGAGACGCGAAAGCGUGGGGAGCAAACAGG
rnacentral:rRNA from 1 species